rnacentral:rRNA from 1 species
GAUGAACGCUGGCGGCGUGCCUAAUACAUGCAAGUCGAGCGAACAGACGAGGAGCUUGCUCCUCUGACGUUAGCGGCGGACGGGUGAGUAACACGUGGAUAACCUACCUAUAGGACUGGGAUAACUUCGGGAAACCGGAGCUAAUACCGGAUAAUAUAUUGAACCGCAUGGUUCAAUAGUGAAAGACGCUUUUGCUGUCCCUUAUAGACGGAUCCGCGCCGCAUUAGCUAGUUGGUAAGGUAACGGCUUACCAAGGGAACGGUGAUUAGCCGACCUGAGAGGGUGAUCGGCCACCCUGGAACUGAGACACGGUCCAGACUCCUACGGGAGGCGGCAGUAGGGAAUCUUCCGCAAUGGGCGAAAGCCUGACGGAGCAACCCCGCGUGAGUGAUGAAGGUCUUCGGAUCGUAAAACUCUGUUAUUAGGGAAGAACAAAUGUGUAAGUAACUAUGCACGUCUUGACGGUACCUAAUCAGAAAGCCACGGCUAACUACGUG